CAAAUGUGCCACAGUCCUUGAACUACACAUUUAUGACUGCUUAGGCUAAAAAGGAUGUUUCCUCACAAUACUGAAGUGGCCACAUCAGCUCUAAAUGGUAUUUUGUAAAUAGUAAAAAAAAAAAAAAAAAGAGAGAGAGAGAGAGAGAGGAAAAAAAACCAACAGCUUUGAUUCCUGUCUCUUCAGGGACUGGCCCUAGAGGUGCUUGGCUUCAUUUUUUUUUUUUCUUGUUGCUUUUUUUUAAUUUAUUUGUCACAGUGAAAUCGCAGUGACCCUUGUUGGCAGUUGGCGGCUGGCACAGACUCUUUGUAUAUGCCAUGAGCCUCUGGACUGCCAGCUGACAUGUCUCCAGCGUCUGUGGCACAGCGCUGUGGUGGCCACACUUCUGUUUUUGCUACUAGGCAUCUAACCUUCCCAGUGGGUGAUGGGCCAGUCAGUUUGCUCAGCAGAGACCUCCUAGAGGAACUGUUGAUUGUUAACUUUUAAAAAUGCGUUUAACAGGGCGGAUAAUCAACCAAAGCUUUUUUUUUCCUUUUACAUUUACCAAUGUUUAAAACUUGAACUUAGCAUUUCUGGGGGGGGGUGUGUGUUUGUUUAUUUUUAAAGUGUUGCUAACAUGUCACUGACAGGACCAUUGUUUCAAUAUGUUGUCUACUUCCAUAAGCCGUAAGCAGAAUGCCUCCCAGGACUUAAGCCCUGUCCCACACUCCUGUUUCUUUGUUUCAAUACCAGCUGUUCUCAGUAGGGAGAGUGGUAGAGGAUCUUCCUUGCAUAGGAUGGGUCUUUCCCAUGUCCAUUUCCAAAACCUGGUUUAUCAUAUCCUUAUGUUCAAGCAAAUUUAGCUCAGAAUGGAGAAAAAAUGAUGGGUAUAAAGGUUACAAUCUCAAAUUCUAAUAAACAAGCCCCUCUCUCAUUCCCCCCUUCAAAUAUCAAAGCUUCCAUUUCCUAUCGGGACUAAAUCCCCUUGAUAAGAGUAUGAUAAAUUGCCUGUAAGAGAUGCUUUUAUUCAGAGUAACUGUCCUGUUCCUCCUUGCUUUGAUGUCUUUGUGCUGCUUCCAUCAUAUCGAUGAGAUCUGUCUAUUGAAGGCUUAGUUCUGACAGACCUUUUAUGCAGAAGAUGUAGAUGCCUGGAUCCUAAAACAUAGAUCGCUUUUCAUCAGGCAAAUGAAACAUUUCUGAUGGUGCCCAUGUGAGUGUGCAGGUCUCUGGAGGGUACAGUAUAUGCAACUGUAUUCAUUCUGAAACUCUUCUUCCAUCCAAAGGCUACAGAAUCACUCAGAUUAGUGCAGCAAAUGAUCUGUGUUUGGCUUCUUUACUUUGAAGAUCUAGACUGCCCUGUUCAUUACCUACCAUAAUGUUUUAGUUACCUGAAUUCAUUGUAGGUUUUACAUUUGGAGUUCUUGUGAUGGACCUGAGGCAUCCUUGAAAAGGCACCAAAAAUAAGUGCACAGCAUAAGAUUAACUCUGGCAGUGUUCAUAUUUGGUUGCCUGGGACUUGCAGCAUAUUUUCUAAGAUCACUUUUAGCUAAGAUCAUCUUAAAACACUUAACAGGAUUUAGAAGUACAAAAUACAGAUUGGGAGGGAUUUCACUUUUAAAUGUGGGUGAGUUGUUAUACUUUGUGCAAAGGGCAGUGACCCUUUGAUAUGAGAGUCUUUUUUUUUUUUUUUUCUAACCAAAGCAGAACACAACUUGGAUUUCUGGUGCUGCAAAGAGAACACUUUCAGCAUUGACUGUAGCGACUCAACUGUCACUUCUGAUACAAUGCUGUGGAUGAAAGUAGUAUCAGCUUGUGUUUCAUAAGACCCCCAUUUUCAGAUGUUUAUGGAUCGUGGCCCGUUCUGCAUUACUCAGAAGCAGGUUCUCAAGAAACCCCAAAACAAUCAUUCCAGCUGAUUUACUUUAAAUGAGAAAAAUGUACAUUUGAAAUUAUGAAGGUUUUCAAAUAUUCAAAGGUAACUAUUUUCUAGUGUAUCUAGUCCACUGGAGAUGGAUUUUUUUUAUUGGCUAGAAGUGAUCAUAUAAACACAACACAUGACCAAAUAGGUCUGUGCUCCACAUCUGUGGUCAUGACAGUUAUGGAAUAAUUCUCUCUUCAGCUGUGGCAUGAACAACAUGAUCAUGGAAUUAUGUGUCUGAAUGAGUCUUCCCUGAUUUCAGCUCCAGACAUGAGAACAUUCAUUUCUGCUCAAGUGACACCUUUAAGGUCCAAAAGCACAGGGUAUGGAUCAGAAGGAAGCUGGGAUUUGAGGUUUCUUCAGCCUACAGUAAAUUUGUACUUUACUGUGUGUGAUCAAGAUAAUUGAACCUUUUAAAAUUGAUAUGCUCAAUUGUACAAGGCUUAUUAUAGUCUAAAGAUAUUGAUUGAAUCUUUCUUUUUCUGUGUACCUAUUUGGACCCACCCUUGAGAAUUCUAAUAAUUGAUUCAAUCAAGUUUUUUACAGCAUUUCUAAAUAGAUUUUCUGCUCUUUAAAAAAUGAAAUCCUUGCUGGUAUCCAGUGGGGUUCUAUCAGCACAUUCUUGGGGUGACCUGUGGACAUUUUGAAUUUGAGCCUAUAACUUCUUUUAUGCCAUGGCAUGCUGUUGCAUUAAAUACUGUAUGCAUUCCUAAGAUCCUGUUCAAUUCUGGAUUUCAUCAAAUGUAAAAUUCAUCCUUUUUUUUUUUUUUUUUUGCUGGCAACAACACCUUACAAGAGAAGUAAAUGAUAGAAGCUGUCUUAAUGCGUUACCACAAAGGGGAAAUGCUGCUUUAGGAGAGCCUUGCCAAUUUUUUGGCCAGGUGUAGUUGAAAAGGAUUUCCAUCCCCCUCCCCCCACUGCCCAUAUAAAAAGAUGUACAAAACCCACCAGGUGAGGGUUGACCUUAUGCAGAGGGGCUUGUUCUAUACUAGUCACUAAAUUUAGAUGCAUGUAUGAAAUAAUACCUCUAUCUGGAUAAUUAACAGAGGAGGGAAGGAGAAAAAGAAAGUUGCUUUCCUGAGCUUGCCAAAGGCUUUUAAAAUAGCAUACGGUGCCAGUGCUGAUGUUCCCUUGAGCUUUUACUAAAAUAUAGAUCUCUUGCAUCUCUCACUUGGCUUUAAACAAAAGAAAACAGCUGUCUGCUAGUGCAGGACAUGGUCUGCUGCUGCUAGGAACUGGCCUUCUCCAAUCGUGAGUCGUCUUGUACAUUUAAGAAAUGGUGAGAUUCAUAAAAAAAAAUCAAAAAAGGCAAUUAAGUUCCUUUGGCUAUCAAAAUACCAGGGAAUUUAGUUCUUUCUACAAGACUUAGGCACUUCUAAAAGAUCUCUGCACACACGUGCCAUUUUAAUACAAUUUUGGUUUCUUUAUCACUAAUAUGUGCACGUUUCUUCCUCCUUAAGGAGCAUCUUUAGAGGCCUCUUCUAGCCCCCUGUGGAUUUUGAACAUGCUUUGCUUGAGCCAGAGCUCAUGGCUCAGGGCUUGUGGUUUGACAAAACACCCUGUAGAGGCAAAAGCACUUUCUGCACACUUCCUUGUUGCUUGUGUGGUCAGUUAUCAAGGGAAGGCAGGGCAAAUCUUUUUGCUGGAAGGAAACUACCAUCCUUCUCUUGCCUCUUCUCUGCCUAAAAAGGAGAAAUACUACCCAUACUGCUUUUAUAAUUGCAUCUCCAUCCAGAGAUCAGGCAAGGGAAAAAAAAGUUUCAUUGAGAGUAAUAAUGCAGCCUAGUGUUCAGAUGAGGGAAAAUCUGGCUGCUUGGUACAGCAGGUAACAAUGAGUAAAAAGGGAAGCAUGGAUCUUACCAUCACUCAUUUUCUACUCUGCAGAAGGCUUUUCCACAGGCAUUGGAGCAAGGCUCUUGAUGGUAGGAGUGCAGCUGUCACUGCUCAAAGGGAUGCUUUAUUAAAACAUUUCCUGCUCCAGACCACCUGCAGUUCCAGCCAAACAAAAGUGCUCCCUUCCCUCUGUCUACCCCCUUCAGGAUAGGUGAGCACAUCUUGUGACGGAAUGGCAUGCUGGGCCUAUACAGUCCAGAUGUUUCAUCUCUGCAUAGAAGACUAAGUUUUGUUUCAUUUUAAGUAUUGGGCUUAGCAGUACAUCACCCAUAAAACCCCUUCUCAGGUGAAGCGGUAGCUGUCUCUGUACUAGAGCUGGAACCACAAAUGGACCACCAUGUGAUGAGAAAACCAGUCAGGUGUUUUCUGUUUUACAUUCCCUACCCCCACCCCAACUAUCUUAACCUGUGAGGUACCUGGUGGCUUGUACGCCUACAGGAACCCAGUCUUGCAAGCUCUGUUCCUGUUCAAGGCUUUGUCUGUUGGUCUGGCUUAUGUGAAUAGCAUCUGUAUGAGGGACAUACUACAUCUCAUUUCUUUAUUUAAAAAAAAAAAAAAAAAGUGAUUUGUCCUGGGGUUAGAGCUGUUUUGUUUCAUCUGUGUCCCAGAAAAGGGCUGGGCAGUAGAGGGAUGACUGCACUGUACAGUACACAUUUAUAAAAAGGCCUUAAACUGUGAUUCUUUUUGGUAUGAAGCAUUAAUAUUAAACUGACCUUAAAGAAUACAUGACUUUUAACCUGCAGAUAUUAUCUUAAUUAAGCAAUAUGUAAUGCUGUUUUCUUGGGGGUGGGAAGGUCAGGCUCACUCUAUGCAGCCAUGGUUGUCAGCAAGGUUUGUUUAGUAAACAGAAGAGGCAUCCAUACACAAGGGCCAAAAGCAGUCACUGCAGUACUCUGCAUCUGCAAUUCUGCUUGGCAAGGGUGGGCGAUUAGUCCCUGUACUGCUGGAAGACAGGAAGAAUUAUUAGAAGGCAGAGAAGGUUGACAUGUAGUAUUUGGGAAGCUGUGGCAACUGGUAACUUCAUUUCCUCACCAGGGACAGCCAGGUGUUUCAUUUUGAACAAUGUGGCAGGGGUUGACACAGAUACUGAGAAACUCUGGGUCAAAUUAAAUGCUUACUUUUCCAUACAAACACUGUUUUGCCACAUCAACUGUUUUGCCAAAUCUCACCCUGUUCAGCCAGUAUUUCUGUAAUCCGUUAGUGGGGGUGUAUUAAGCUAAAUGCAUCUCCAGUUGGUUGGUAUCACUGGCUAAGAAAGGUUUGAGAGAGACCCAAAUAACUUCCAUGGAGCCUGAGGCUUUAGGCAAAUAGCCCCAAAGCUAAUGGUGGCCCACUUUUUUCCACAGCCCCUGGUCAGAAUUACCACCAUGUCAUAGCUCGUAGUCUUAAAUUGCACUGUGUUCCUAUGCCUCUAUGUUGCUGUAAUGUACAUAUAUAUUGGAUUUUUGUAGAUAAAACAUUUUAAAUGAAAUUUUUAAAUGGGCUCCCCCCAAAAUAUUUUAUGCCAGAUAUCUAAUUUUUUUUACACUGAGAAUAACAUGAAUCUAGAUGCCAUGUGGGCAGGGAAGGCGAGGAGAAGCAGAUGGCACAUUGGCUUUACAAAGGGUAACAAUGCAUGUAAAAACACUGGAGAAAAAAACAACUGCUUGGAAUAAAAAUCCAUUCAAGUACAUUCUAUGUUCUGUGUAAUAAAAAAUUCAGAAGAAAAA